GUAAGGGAUAUUGCCCAAUGGACGCCAGUCUGAGGCAGCAACGCCGCGUGGGGGAUGACGGUCUUCGGAUUGUAAACCCCUUUUCUGCGGGAAGAGAAAGGACGGUACCGCAGGAAGAAGUCUCGGCUAACUACGUGCCAGCAGCCGCGGUAAAACGUAGGAGGCGAGCGUUAUCCGGAUUUACUGGGCGUAAAGCGCACGCAGGUGGCUGGGUAAGGGGUGCGUGAAAGCUCCUGGCUCAACUGGGAGAGGACGUACCCGACUGCCCGGCUGGAGACAGACAGAGGCUGACGGAAUUCCGGGUGGAGUGGUGAAAUGCGUAGAGAUCCGGAGGAACACCGGUGGCGAAGGCGGUCAGCUGGGUCUGGUCUGACACUGAGGUGCGAAAGCGUGGGGAGCGAACGGGAUUAGAAACCCCAGUAGUCC
rnacentral:rRNA from 1 species